rnacentral:lncRNA from 1 species
GUGACUCUUCCCCCUCCUGCUCCGGCCCCGCCCCUGCUGAGCCAAACCCAGUAGGAGGCUGGGCCUGGGUUUGUGCUGCUGGGGUCUCCAUCACUGGGCCUGAGGGACUGUGGGGGCUCAAGGGUAAUGCCAGAGGCCCAUGGCCUCAGCGAGGGGCUGUGGGGCGCCUAGAGUUCUCGGUGUGUCUCCUUCAUUCAUUGGCCUCUGCUGGGGCCUCCUAUGGGUGUCUUACGUCUGUCCAUCCAUCUGUCUGUGGUCAGAAGUGGGGUCAGUGUGUGAGUGAGAGCAGGAGUAUUUAUGAAAAUAAAACGUCGUUUUUCCUGGACCAGCUGCUCUCGUGGCCCUUUGGCCCAGUUCUCAAAGCCCCACUUCCAUUUCUGUUGAUUUGGCCGAGGCACCAGUUAAUUUUGGUUUUCAGCAACCGCAUCACACUGUUCGUCUGUUUAUGGCAGCCAGAAGAAGUGGCAAGGGCCUGGGAGCCU